AGCAGACAGAAGGAACCAAAGGAACCACAGGUUCUCCUCAACCCACAGACACACUGGAGAAAGACAAGAAUACAGAAACUGUAAAUGUGAAGAGUGCAGGAGAAGAAAAAGAGUUGAAAGAUGGAAAACAAGCAGGGGAGAGGAAUCAAAAAGACAGAGCAAGAAGACAGAGCUUACCUGCUGGGAAGUCCCGGGUGGAGAACCUGCAGUCUCAGUUCUGUCAAUACGAGGAGAGCCAAGCCCUGGUGGAGCAUAUCCUGCAGCACUGGGACCGGCGCCGGGGAUUGUUGUUGGUCCCACUCCCCACUGAAGAUGCUUUAGGGUCAGCUGAAGUUAUAACAGAGAAGCAGUCCUCUGCUGAUAAGAAGAGCAGGAGAGUCGGUAACAAGCUCAUAUCACCUUUGCACAGUCAAAUAGCGGGACUGUCAGAAGCAGAGAAGGCAGAAGACAAGGCAUCUCCUCUGGACAUUCCAUAUAUUGUGUUAA
rnacentral:lncRNA from 1 species